AUCGCACUCAAAACCUCACAAUUUUAAAGGCUCCGAUUGGAGUUCAAAUCUUCAAACUAUGCAGAAACUCGUUCUGUAGGAUCUCAGAGCCAGCAUUUCUGAUUCAAGUGUUCCUACAGAUUCACAUUCGUCUCAUAACAAAUGAAAGAAUUACAGUAACACAGAUUAAUUAACUAAUCAUGGAUCUCUUCUUUGCAUUUCACAGAACUUCUAAAUCAUUAAACAAAUUUAAGAUAAAUGACCAGUUUUAGUAAAAAGAGCUCGUCAUUAAAAAAAAAAUUAAAUAUAUGAAAUGGUGAUGCUGUCAUUAGUUUUUGAAUGCAAAUACUGAAAGGAUUCACACAUGUACAGGCUGCCGGAUCCACCAAGAGUACAACAGUUGUAUGCUUUUCUAUUUUCAACCUUCAGACAUUCAUCUGAGCUCUUAGACAUCAGAUUAUAGGCUUCUUCUGCCUCUUCAGUUCCCAUCUUUCGAAGUAUCCAGCCCGGUUUUGGGGAAAUCCUGUUACCUGUUGGCCUUUUCAUUAGUCUUUAUAGUCCAUGCAUCGCUUUUGGAUCCAACAAUAGGGUUACCAACAACAUAAGGAGGUGGGAUAACAGCAUUAUUUAGGAGUGGAACCCUUUCAGGAGCAUAUUCAUAAUCACUAUCAUAAUAUUGAUGCGGCCCAAGCGCUUUGAGUAUCAAUGCUAGUAAGAAAGAUAGUCCCUGCACAGACACAAUUGACAAGCCGAUCCAUUUGCACAUCUCAAAGUUUGACCUUAUGAAAUCUUUGAACUGAUUAAAACUCCCGGAUGGAUCCUCCGGAAAGUCCUGGUACCAAGUUUGAUCAAAUUGGCAGUGUAAUCAUACAAAUUGUCAAUAAGCAUUUGUUGAAAGUUGUCUUGUAACCUCAAAAGUCAUCGGAUAAGAAUCAAAUAAAUGAGUUUAUACACUUGAAAUAUACCUCUUCCCAGUCACGGUUUAGAAAUACAUCAGCAGUCACUCCAGCCUCCAGCAUAAAGAGCAAGAAGACAAACAACAUAUACUGCACUCUGUUAAGGCCAAAACAGACACAAAAUGUCUGGCAUAGUGGCAUUCCAAAUAAGCAAAGCUCAUUGAAUCUAAAAUUCCUUUUCUUUUGGAAUUAACUAAAAAUUCUAUACUAUUAGAAUUUGAGUGAUUAUUGUUGCACUCAUUUCAUAUAGGCAUUUUAGGGUAGUUUUGCAUCCAUUUUGCCCUUAUAUUUUAGUAUAUUUUAUGUUUUUAGCUUUAUUUUAGCUUAUUUGUUAACUUUAGAUACUUUAUAUUUGAUUUUUGUAAUUUUGUUGUUUUUGAUAGGAUUUUGUGGCAAAUCGAAGAUCAAUGAGUGCAAUAGGAAGUGAUUUGAAGAGAUUUGGAGUUCUUUAAGCAUGGAGGAAAGUUGAAGAUAUCAAGCUUUGAAAGAGCAAGUUAGCCGAAAUUUGCUUGAGACUUUGCUUAAGGUCAUGCUUAGGGUAAAGCGGCAGUACUUAAGGAGCAGCACAAGUCAAGCACCAGCAGAAGAGUUCAUUCUACUCUAAGUCUGCCGAGAUUUGCUGAAGGUCUGCUUAACCUUAAGCAGACAGUGCAACCAGAGGCUGAAAUUUGCUGAAGAAGCUGCUUAGGGUUAAGCAGUACCCUAAGCAGACUGCCAAGAACGUGAAUAAUGCUGUUGACUUGGAUAAUUUUACACCUCAUUUCCUAUCCACUCCUUGGCUCUUAUUUACUUUUAGGGC
rnacentral:misc_RNA from 1 species